UCAUAGUGAUCCGGUGGUUCUGAAUGGAAGGGCCAUCGCUCAACGGAUAAAAGGUACUCCGGGGAUAACAGGCUGAUACCGCCCAAGAGUUCAUAUCGACGGCGGUGUUUGGCACCUCGAUGUCGGCUCAUCACAUCCUGGGGCUGAAGUAGGUCCCAAGGGUAUGGCUGUUCGCCAUUUAAAGUGGUACGCGAGCUGGGUUUAGAACGUCGUGAGACAGUUCGGUCCCUAUCUGCCGUGGGCGCUGGAGAACUGAGGGGGGCUGCUCCUAGUACGAGAGGACCGGAGUGGACGCAUCACUGGUGUUCGGGUUGUCAUGCCAAUGGCACUGCCCGGUAGCUAAAUGCGGAAGAGAUAAGUGCUGAAAGCAUCUAAGCACGAAACUUGCCCCGAGAUGAGUUCUCCCUGACUCCUUGAGAGUCCUGAAGGAACGUUGAAGACGACGACGUUGAUAGGCCGGGUGUGUAAGCGCAGCGAUGCGUUGAGCUAACCGGUACUAAUGAACCGUGAGGCUUAACCUU
rnacentral:rRNA from 1 species